rnacentral:rRNA from 1 species
AUUGAACGCUGGCGGCAGGCCUAACACAUGCAAGUCGAACGAGUGGCGGACGGGUGAGUAAUGUAUGGGAAACUGCCCGAUGGAGGGGGAUAACUACUGGAAACGGUAGCUAAUACCGCAUACCAUCAGAUGUGCCCAUAUGGGAUUAGCUUGUAGGUGGGGUAAAGGCUCACCAAGGCGACGAUCCCUAGCUUGUCUGAGAGGAUGACCAGACACACUGGAACUGAGACACGUGCCAGACUCCGACGGGAGGAAGCAGUGGGGAAUAUUGCACAAUGUGCGCAAGCCUGAUGCAGCCAUGCCGCGUGUAUGAAGAAGGCCUUCGGGUUGUAAAGUACUUUCAGCGGGGAGGCGUUACCCGCAGAAGAAGCACCGGCUAACUCCGUGCCAGCAGCCGCGGUAAUAC